rnacentral:rRNA from 1 species
GGAAACGAUGCUAAUACCGCAUACGCCCUACGGGGGAAAGCGGAGGACCUUUCGGGGCUUCGCGCUAAUGGAUGAGCCUAAGUCGGAUUAGCUUGUUGGUGAGGUAAAAGCUCACCAAGGCGACGAUCCGUAGCUGGUCUGAGAGGACGAUCAGCCACACUGGGACUGAGACACGGCCCAG